GACGAACGCUGGCGGCGUGCUUAACACAUGCAAGUCGAACGGAAAGGCCCUGCUUUUGUGGGGUGCUCGAGUGGCGAACGGGUGAGUAACACGUGAGUAACCUGCCCUUGACUUUGGGAUAACUUCAGGAAACUGGGGCUAAUACCGGAUAGGAGCUCCUGCUGCAUGGUGGGGGUUGGAAAGUUUCGGCGGUUGGGGAUGGACUCGCGGCUUAUCAGCUUGUUGGUGGGGUAGUGGCUUACCAAGGCUUUGACGGGUAGCCGGCCUGAGAGGGUGACCGGCGACAUUGGGACGGAGAGACGGAGCAGACUCCUACAGGAGGCAGCAGGGGGGAAUAUUGCACAGUGGGCGGAAGCCUGAUGCAACAACGCCGCGUGCGGGAUGACGGCCUUCGGGUUGUAAACCGCUUUCGCCUGUGACGAAGCGUGAGUGACGGUAAUGGGUAAAGAAGCACCGGCUAACUACGUG
rnacentral:rRNA from 1 species